AUUGAACGCUGGCGGCAUGCUUUACACAUGCAAGUCGAACGGUAACAGGCCGCAAGGUGCUGACGAGUGGCGAACGGGUGAGUAAUGCAUCGGAACGUGCCCAGUCGUGGGGGAUAACGCAGCGAAAGCUGUGCUAAUACCGCAUACGAUCUAUGGAUGAAAGCGGGGGACCGUAAGGCCUCGCGCGAUUGGAGCGGCCGAUGUCAGAAUUAGGUAGUUGGUGGGGUAAAGGCCUACCAAGCCGACGUUCUGUAGCUGGUCUGAGGGGACGACCAGCCACACUGGGACUGAGACACGGCCCAGACUCCUACGGGAGGCAGCAUUGGGAAAUUUUAGACAAUGGGCGCAAGCCUGAUCCAGCAUUGCCGCGUGCAGGAAGAAGGCCUUCGGGUUGUAAACUGCUUUUGUACGGAACGAAACGGUCUGGGUUAAUACCCUGGGCUAAUGACGGUACCGUAAGAAUAAGCACCGGCUAACUACGUGCCAGCAGCCGCAGUAAUAC
rnacentral:rRNA from 1 species